CAGAGGAUAGUUUUAAAAAUAUUAGUUUUGGAGAUUAAAGUAAAAGAAUUAUCUUUUCUUCUGA
rnacentral:tRNA from 1 species